UGCCCAAGAGAUCGGGAUAACACCUGGAAACAGAUGCUAAUACCGGAUAACAACAGAUGAUGCCUAUCAACUGCUUAAAAGAUGGUUCUGCUAUCACUCUUGGAUGGACCUGCGGUGCAUUAGCUAGUUGGUAGGGUAACGGCCUACCAAGGCGAUGAUGCAUAGCCGAGUUGAGAGACUGAUCGGCCACAUUGGGACUGAGACACGGCCCAAACUCCUACGGGAGGCAGCAGUA
rnacentral:rRNA from 1 species